CGGCGCGCCUAACACAUGCAAGUCGAACGAUUAAAGCACCUUCGGGUGUGUAUAAAGUGGCGAACGGCUGAGUAACACGUGGGCAACCUGCCCCUUUCAUUGGGAUAGCCACGGGAAACCGUGGAUAAUACCGAAUACUUCGAGACUUCCGCAUGGAAGACUCGAGAAAGCUCCGGCGGAGAGGGAUGGGCCCGCGGCCUGUUAGCUUGUUGGUGGGGUAACGGCCUACCAAGGCAAUGAUGGGUAGCUGGGUUGAGAGACCGACCAGCCAGAUUGGGACUGAGACACGGCCCAGACUCCUACGGGAGGCAGCAGUGGGGAAUCUUGCACAAUGGGCGAAAGCCUGAUGCAGCGACGCCGCGUGCGGGAUGAAGGCCUUCGGGUUGUAAACCGCUUUCAGCAGGGACGAGGCGAAAGUGACGGUACCUGCAGAAGAAGCCCCGGCUAACUACGUGCCAGCAGCCGCGGUAAUACGUAGGGGGCAAGCGUUAUCCGGAUUCAUUGGGCGU
rnacentral:rRNA from 2 species